UUGAACCUACGGGACGCAGCAGUGGGGAAUAUUGCACAAUGGGGGAAACCCUGAUGCAGCGACGCCGCGUGAGUGAAGAAGUAUUUCGGUAUGUAAAGCUCUAUCAGCAGGGAAGAAAAUGACGGUACCUGACCAAGAAGCCCCGGCUAACUACGUGCCAGCAGCCGCGGUAAUACGUAGGGGGCAAGCGUUAUCCGGAUUUACUGGGUGUAAAGGGUGCGUAGGCGGCCCUGCAAGUCAGAAGUGAAAUCCAUGGGCUUAACCCGUGAACUGCUUUUGAAACUGCAGGACUUGAGUGGAGUAGA
rnacentral:rRNA from 1 species